rnacentral:rRNA from 1 species
AUUGAACGCUGGCGGCAGGCUUAACACAUGCAAGUCGAGCGGGGUGAUGGUGCUUGCACUAUCACUUAGCGGCGGACGGGUGAGUAAUGCUUAGGAAUCUGCCUAUUAGUGGGGGACAACAUCUCGAAAGGGAUGCUAAUACCGCAUACGUCCUACGGGAGAAAGCAGGGGAUCACUUGUGACCUUGCGCUAAUAGAUGAGCCUAAGUCGGAUUAGCUAGUUGGUGGGGUAAAGGCCUACCAAGGCGACGAUCUGUAGCGGGUCUGAGAGGAUGAUCCGCCAGACGUGGCCUGAGACACGGCCACGACUCCUACGGGUGGCAGCAGUGGGGAAUAUUGGACAAUGGGGGGAACCCUGAUCCAGCCAUGCCGCGUGUGUGAAGAAGGCCUUAUGGUUGUAAAGCACUUUAAGCGAGGAGGAGGCUCUUUUGGUUAAUACCCAAGAUGAGUGGACGUUACUCGCAGAAUAAGCACCGGCUAGCUCUGUGCCAGCAGCCGCCGUAA